GCUCCAGUAGCUGUAAUGGUUAGAGCGUCUGCCUCGAAUGCGGGAUGUUGCGGGUUCAAACCAUGACCGAAUCA